GAUGGAAGCAUGUUGGACUCUGUGGUGUAAACAUUUUUGGACUUACAGCCACAUGCUUAGGAUGCUUCUCCUGUAGCCAUGCAAUCAGGAUCUCUCUCAGCUGUGUGUUGAGCUAUAGCCAUGCACCUUCACCCUAGCCAUGGACCAAGACUUGGUGUGAGAACCAUAUGGAUAGGAAGAACUAACCUAGACCCAAGAUGCAAGUUCACGGAUUGCAAGACAGGAGGCCAAACGCUGAAACGGCAUCUGACAAAAGUUCUGCUUUUUAAGCACUGACCUCAAGAGAGUAUCUGCAGGAUGAAAAGGUUAUUAUGUGACUGGACACCUUGAAUGACCUGGGGUAAAUUAGUAGAGUCUCAUUGAAGUUCUUGUGUUCUGUUGAAAUCAGUGGAGCUUGUUUUCACUGGUGUAGUGUCUGAGACAUCAAGUUUAAUGAUUUGUUACAAAUACUUUAAUAUGUACUUGCAGAUGCUAUUAAAACAGUUUUUUAUCAAGAGAUUUAUU
rnacentral:lncRNA from 14 species